rnacentral:rRNA from 1 species
GGCGAACGCUGGCGGCGUGCCUAAUACAUGCAAGUAGAACGCUGAAGAGAGGAGCUUACUCUUCUUGGAUGAGUUGCGAACGGGUGAGUAACGCGUAGGUAACCUGCCUUGUAGCGGGGGAUAACUAUUGGAAACGAUAGCUAAUACCGCAUAACAAUGGAUGACACAUGUCAUUUAUUUGAAAGGGGCAAUUGCUCCACUACAAGAUGGACCUGCGUUGUAUUAGCUAGUAGGUGAGGUAAUGGCUCACCUAGGCGACGAUACAUAGCCGACCUGAGAGGGUGAUAGGCCACACUGGGACUGAGACACGGCCCAGACUCCUACGGGAGGCAGCAGUAGGGAAUCUUCGGCAAUGGGGGCAACCCUGACCGAGCAACGCCGCGUGAGUGAAGAAGGUUUUCGGAUCGUAAAGCUCUGUUGUAAGUCAAGAACGGGUGUGAGAGUGGAAAGUUCACACUGUGACGGUAGCUUACCAGAAAGGGACGGCUAACUACGUG